rnacentral:rRNA from 1 species
GAUGAACGCUGGCGGCGUGCCUAAUACAUGCCAGUCGAGCGAACAGACGAGGAGCUUGCUCCUCUGACGUUAGCGGCGGACGGGUGAGUAACACGUGGAUAACCUACCUAUAGGACUGGGAUAACUUCGGGAAACCGGAGCUAAUACCGGAUAAUAUAUUGAACCGCAUGGUUCAAUAGUGAAAGACGGUUUUGCUGUCACUUAUAGAUGGAUCCGCGCCGCAUUAGCUAGUUGGUAAGGUAACGGCUUACCAAGGCAACGAUGCGUAGCCGACCUGAGAGGGUGAUCGGCCACACUGGAACUGAGACACGGUCCAGACUCCUACGGGAGGCAGCAGUAGGGAAUCUUCCGCAAUGGGCGAAAGCUUGACGGAGCAACGCCGCGUGAGUGAUGAAGGUCUUCGGAUCGUAAAACUCUGUUAUUAGGGAAGAACAAAUGUGUAAGUAACUAUGCACGUCUUGACGGUACCUAAUCAGAAAGCCACGGCUAACUACGUG